rnacentral:tRNA from 1 species
GCCUUUGUAAUGUAAUGGUCAGCACAUUUAGCCCGUAUUCGAAAGGUCCGUGGUUCGAGUCCUGGCGAGGGCA